UACAGAGGGUGCGAGCGUUAAUCGGAAUUACUGGGCGUAAAGCGUGCGUAGACGGUUAUUUAAGUCGGGUGUGAAAGCCCCGGGCUCAACCUGGGAAUUGCAUUCGAGACUGAAUAGCUAGGGUACGGUAGAGGGAAGCGGAAUUUCCGGUGUAGCGGUGAAAUGCGUAGAUAUCGGAAGGAACGCCGGUGGCGAAAGCGACGCGCUGGGCCCUUUCUGACGCUGAGGCGCGAAAGCCAGGGGAGCAAACGGG
rnacentral:rRNA from 1 species